CCGGCCCUCUGGAUGCGAGGGGGGGGCGGCCGCGGGGCUCCUCGGUCACUUCUUCCCUCACCGCCGCCAUCACCCGUCCUCCAAACCCUGAGAAGGAGCACGCCCCACACCACCCGGAGAUUAAGAGCCCACAGGCACACCGACCCCAGCUGUGGAUAGCUCCGAGGCUUCCUUAAUUGGGAGAGAUACUGAUAACACUACUCCCGUGGAAGAAGCAGAUGUUUCAAGCUCCCCAGGGAAUGUAUCCUUUAACAGAAGACAGUCUUUCCAGCAACAAAGAUCCCAGACACAGCAAUUCUGCAGGAGUCAACAACUGGCAUUUAAAGGGGAUACUGGAUAGCAGAUUGCUUUGGGAACAUUUGGGGAGUUCGGUUCCCUUCGCUGUUAUUAGAUCUAACUUCUAUAAAAGUGUUUUGCACUGUGUCAACAUAGCGACUUCAUCAUUUCCAGUUCCUUGAUUUCUCCAAGCCGAGUUUCCUGUUUCCCUGGCAGCCAAGCCGAGCCGUGACUCAACUCCCGUUGUUAAUCCGGAGUGAAUUCACGUCCUUGCUUUGUUCCUGAAUCCAGAUCGCUUUUAGCCUAAUCUUUUUGCCUGCCUUGUAAUCCAAGACUUUUCAGUGACUGUGGACUUUGUUAUUUACUCCUGCUUUCUUGUUGCUUUCCCCGCUCAAGAACUUUUCAGCAGUUUUGAGCGUGUUUUGGUUUCUGGACUUUGGACAAUAAUAUUGUACAUAUCUCUUCAAUGCUUUGGACUAAUUCAUACCAUUCCUUAAAGGACUAUUGCUCACUCAUCCCUUCCACUUAUUCUUUCCUGAAUUUAUUAUUGUUUUAAUAAAGAUAUUAUAUGAUUA